rnacentral:sRNA from 1 species
GAUUAUCGCUAAGGACCUUCCUCCCAAUCCUCAGCGAUCAGAGACCAGCAUCUUCCUCCCAAGGUCUGGUCUUCCAAUAAACACCCGUCGCUCCUCCCGCGGCGGGUGUUUUAU